rnacentral:lncRNA from 1 species
CGGAGCCUGCGGGAGGCAGGGCGGGGGCCCGUGGCGCGGCCCGCGGGACGGUGGGUGGAGUUGGGCGACCGGGGAAGGGGAGGACCCGACAGGCCAGGUGACAGGUAAUUGUGACCCUCGGGCCCUCCCUCCGGCCUGGUAGGCACUAGCCUUCCUUCUUCCCCUUUCGGGGUGGAGGGGAGGUGGAGGAAAGACAGGGGGUGGGUCCAACUCCAGAGCGGGAGAUUGGGCAGCAUUUCUUUCAGAGCUUUCCAACGAAGUGGGCGAAGAUUCCGCCGGCUGCCCCGGGUAGAGCGCAACAGAGGCAGGAUUGAUUUCACAAAACCUCCAGUUUAAGAAGACGAUCAUGAGCCCAUUCAGGAGGAGCUCAGGGCUUCAAAGGUGUCUGUCGCUCUGUGCCCUGGGAAUGUUGCAGUGGGCUUUUUAGCAUGCCUAAGAAGUCAAGGCUGGAGCGCAGCCCCUUCCUGACAGAGCUCCCUCCUGUGAAAGUCUUGUAGUUUCAUGGAAACUUGCCUGGCUUGCCUGGGUGGAAGGAGACCAAGAUUCCGAUUCAGCCGUGAUUUGGAGGCUCCGACCCUUUGGGAGGAAAACAGAGGCAAGCUGCCAGUUCAGCCAAAGAAGCAUAGAGGGAAGCCAUUCUUUCCUUCCCUAUAUUCAUAUUAUACAAGAUGCCUCCUCUGA